rnacentral:rRNA from 1 species
GCUCGGAGAUGUGUAUAAGAGACAGUAUUUAAUAAGAUCUAUCUCAAAUCAAGUAAGAUUACCUGCUGAAUUGAAGCAUCUAAGUAAGCAGAGGAAAAGAAAAUAACAAUGAUUCUCUUAGUAACGGCGAGUGAAUAGGGAAUAGCCCAAGCUUAAAUCAGCUUUGCUGAGUUGUAGUGUGUAGAAUCUAACUUUUGUUCAGUGUUAAUAUCAUAUAAUUUGGUUGGAAAACCAAGUAAUAGAAGGUGAUAACCCUGUAAUAUGAUAUGACUGAAUGUUGGAUUCUUGGAGUCGAGUUGUUUGGGAAUGCAACUCGAAGUGGGUGGUGAACUCCAUCUAAGGCUAAAUAUGUUCAAGAGACCGAUAGUGAACAAGUACCGUGAGGGAAAGAUGAAAAGAACUUUGAGAAAAGAGUGAAAUAGUACUUGAAAUCGUAUAGAGGUUAAGCAGAGUUGGUGGAUAUUGUAUUUGAAUGUACUAUAAUCAAUUGAUUAUGGCUUAUUCUUAUACAUAGUAUAAUUUGUGUGUGAAUUGGUUAAUAUUAAAACGAAUAUGCGCAUAAAUGAUAUAAAUCCUACAUCUCUGUCCCGUCUUGAAACACGGACCAAGGAGUCUAUCCUGUAUGCAAGUUGUAUGGUGUAAAACCAAUAAGCGUAAUGAAAGUAAGAGGUGUGAAAGUUGUAAAAGUGUCAACACCUGCCGAUCUAAAUUCUUUGAUGAAAGAUUCGAGUAUGAGCAUAUAGGGUGGGACCCGAAAGAUGGUGAACUAUGCCUGAAUAGGACGAAGCCAGGGGAAACUCUGGUGGAGGUUCGAGUGGAUUCUAACGUGCAAAUUGAUCUUUAAAUUUGGGUAUAGGGGCGAAAGACUAAUCGAACCAUCUAGUAGCUGGUUCAUUCCGAAAUUUCCCUCAGGAUAGCUGCAACUUAUGAAAUAGUUUUAUGAGGUAAAGCGAAUGAUUAGAGGUUUCUGGGAUGGAAUAUCCUGGACCUAUUCUCAAACUUUCAAUGGGUAAGAAAAGUGUGAUGUUUAAUUAAUCAUACUAUUUGAAUAUGAGUUGCAAGUGGGCCAUUCCGGGUAAGCUGGACUGGCAAUGCGGGAUCAACCGAACGCUAUGUUACGGCGCCAGAUUGUUCGCUCAGUUGGAUGUAAAAGGUGUUAGUUCAUCUAGACAGCAGGACGGUGGCCAUGGAAGUCGGAAACCGCCAAGGAGUGUGUAACAACUCACCUGCCGAAUGAAGUAGCCCUGAAAAUGGAUGGCGCUUAAGCGAACAGCCUAUACAUAGCCAUUAUUGUUAGGAUUAUACAAUAAUGAGUAGGAAUGCGUGAUGAAUGUUGUGAAGUAUGAUGUGUGAACAUGUAUGGAACAUUCAUUAGUGCAGAUCUUGGUGGAAGUAGCAAAUAUUCAAAUGAGAUCUUUGAAGACUGAAGUGGAGAAAGGUUCCAUAGGAAUAGUGAUUAUCUAUGGGUUAGUCGAUCCUAAGAGAUAGGUGAAAUCCAUUGAAAAGUCAAUUUCGAUUGACAUUUAUCGAAAGGGAAUCAGGUUAAUAUUCCUGAACCAAAGAGAAGGGUAAACGGUAACGUAUAGGGGUCUCAAGACAUUGAUGUUAUUCCCAGGAAGAGUUUUCUUUUCUUGUUAACAAAUGGGCAGUGCUUGGAAUCGAUUCAGUCGGCGAUAAGCAUUGUUAUUUGGUAAAGUACUACUAUUUUGUGUAGUAUCUGGUGCAAUGACAUGAAUCCUUGAAAAUUGAGACUUUUGUUUUCCCGAAGCUUUGGUCGUACUAAUAACCGCAUCAGGUCUCCAAGGUGAAUAGCCUCUAGUUAAUAGAAUAAUGUAGAUAAGGGAAGUCGGCAAAUUAGAUCCGUAACUUCGGGAUAAGGAUUGGCUCUGAGGGCUAAGUGGGUUUAAGGUGUUAAUAGUAUAAGUUUGAUAUGGGAUUGAGUGUUUUGAGUUGCUUCGGUGAUUUGAAAUAUUUGGUUCUAAUGUCUUAGUUGUCUAUUUUCAUCUACCACUAUGAAUAGCUAACUCAGAACUGGUACGGACAAGGGGAAUCCGACUGUUUAAUUAAAACAAAGCAUUGUGAUGGUGUGAAAGAUAUGUUGACACAAUGUGAAUUCUGCCCAGUGCUCUGAAUGUGAAAGUGGCGUAAUUCAAGCAAGCGCGGGUAAACGGCGGGAGUAACUAUGACUCUCUUAAGGUAGCCAAAUGCCUCGUCAUCUAAUUAGUGACGCGCAUGAAUGGAUUAAUGAGAUUCCCACUGUCCCUAUCUACUAUCUAGCGAAACCACAGCCAAGGGAACGGGCUUGGAAAUAUCAGCGGGGAAAGAAGACCCUGUUGAGCUUGACUCUAGUUUAACAUUGUGAAAUGACUUUAGAGGUGUAGCAUAGGUGGGAGGAGGUAACUCCGAUCCUGAAAUACCACUACUCUGAAUGUUGUUUUACUUAUUCCAUGAAAGAGGAUACUUACUUAAUUGUAAGUGUUAUGAUGUAAACUUUGGUGACCUCUUUGGGAGACAUUGUUAGGUGGGGAGUUCGGCUGGGGCGGCACAUCUGUUAAAGAAUAACACAGGUGUCCUAAGAUGAGCUCAAUAAGAACAGAAAUCUUAUGUAGAACAAAAGGGUAAAAGCUCAUUUGAUUUUGCUUUUCAGUAUGAAUACAAACUAUAAAAGUAUGGCCUAUCGAUCCUUUACAUAAAGGGAGAUCCUUGGUAGAGGUGUCAGAAAAGUUACCACAGGGAUAACUGGCUUGUGGCAGCCAAGCGUUCAUAGCGACGUUGCUUUUUGAUUCU